UACAGAGGUCUCAAGCGUUGUUCGGAUUCAUUGGGCGUAAAGGGUGCGUAGGCGGCGCGGUAAGUCGGGGGUGAAAUCUCGGAGCUUAACUCCGAAACUGCAUUCGAUACUGCCGUGCUUGAGGACUGGAGAGGAGACUGGAAUUUACUGUGUAGCGGUGAAAUGCGUAGAUAUCGUAAGGAAGACCAGUGGCGAAGGCGGGUCUCUGGACAGUUCCUGACGCUGAGGCACGAAGGUCAGGGGAGCAAACGGG
rnacentral:rRNA from 1 species